ACACAUUCUUGAAAGAACUGAAUUUGGUUAUGUUUGAUUCUUUGUUUGCAGCUUUCAUGUUGACAGUGAUGAUGGAUGGAACAUUUUGAAGUUAAAUCAAUUCCUACUUCCCCUAUGGCGACACAAGAAGAGACUGACACAAGAUGAAGUAAAGGUUUCCAGUACUGAGGCCAGUUGGUCUGCACAAGAUGUGGAUGAAUACCAAAAGAAAGUUGAUCAAGAUGAAAGUGGGAAUCUGCAAUUGGUGGAACUGUUUGACUGGAUGGAACUUGAAGAAUAGGAUGUCCAUAAAUAUCACACAGUAAAGUUGAAGAGCAAAGGUGUGAACGUUGAGUAGAGAAUUGGUCGAAGAUGAGAAGCUCUACAUCAGAAAAAGGUGGUUCAGGACUUUUGAGUGGAUGAAACUGCUGGUUCUGUUGGAUAUAGGGCAAAAGAUCUUUGAACGGAAUUUCCAAAAGCUGUGCCACAGUAU